rnacentral:rRNA from 1 species
GUGGGGAAUAUUGGACAAUGGGCGAAAGCCUGAUCCAGCAAUGCCGCGUGAGUGAUGAAGGCCUUAGGGUUGUAAAGCUCUUUUACCAGGGAUGAUAAUGACAGUACCUGGAGAAUAAGCUCCGGCUAACUCCGUGCCAGCAGCCGCGGUAAUACGGAGGGAGCUAGCGUUGUUCGGAAUUACUGGGCGUAAAGCGCACGUAGGCGGCUACUCAAGUCAGAGGUGAAAGCCCGGGGCUCAACCCCGGAACUGCCUUUGAAACUAGGUAGCUAGAAUCUUGGAGAGGUCAGUGGAAUUCCGGGUGUAGAGGUGAAAUUCGUAGAUAUUCGGAAGAACACCAGUGGCGAAGGCGACUGACUGGACAAGUAUUGACGCUGAGGUGCGAAAGCGUGGGGAGCAAACAGGAUUAGAUACCCGAGUAGUCC